GCGUAACGGAGCUCUGAGUGUAGACAGGGGGCUGCUGCGCUGCACCCCCAUAUGCAUGGAGGAUGUUUAUGGCUACUUGCAACGAGCAUCCCUCUAUUACCUGCUUCUCUAUGUUUCAGGAGACCCCUGCCCACCCUUGCAGAUGUCCACGACAUCAUGCCAGCCUCAGCAAGCAUCUCUUUCCUCCAGACGACAGCCUGGGUCUACCUUCAUGCCAGGAUGUGCCGCGAGCCCGUCCUCUUGCCCACUGGACCCUCCCUGGAUCUCAUGAUGGUGGAGAAGGGUAGUGACCCCCUGUGUAUAUUCAGGCAGCGCUUGUCUGACCCUGAUAUAGGCAAGGGUGUGGCCAGGAGAUUGAACCCUUCUGGCGUUACUUGUGUGUGCAGGACAGUGCUGAUAAGGGUGUGGCAGAUCGUGAGGGGUUGCUGUGGACUAUAGCAGUCAAAUUCACGAACGCUUGAAGAUUGACUCCAGAAUAGACUUAUGUUCUUCAACUCCCUAGUCUGUCAUCCCGACACCUGGAAGGAAUAUGGAGAAAUAGCCUUGCAUGACUUUGACAGGUUGAACUUUGACAGCCCAAUGAUAUAUUCACAGCCACUGGGGCAGUGCUCUGUAGCCCCAAAUGGGCCAUCUUUUAUUAUGAAGUCCCUGGACCCCGAGACUGCUGGCCACCUAUGUCUGGAGUAAAUGCCCUAGGUACCUACAGAGACCAACCCUGGACAUGAUCCUGGGGAGACCAGGGUGCUAGCUUCUGCCCUCCUCUCUUCCUUGCCUGCCCCUCCCUUAUAUUGAAAAGUCUUUGUGAAACUCUCAUGCUUUAGGAUUCACAGCCUUACUCAUUUUAGGGUUGCCUGGCAAGUCAUCUGCCUCCCUGCAGGAUACCUGACAAGCUAGAAACCCAGGGAAGGGAAGAGGAGCCAGUCUCUUGUGAGUGAUGAAUGUGUGUGUUCCUGCCACGAUCCACGCUGUGCUCCCUCUCCACAGCCUUGGCCCCUGUUGUCGAGUGAGCAGCUGGGAAAGUGGGGAAACAGACCUUCACAUGGAGGCCAUGUGUUACAAGAGUCGUGCAGCCAGACACAGUGGUGCAAGCUUGAAAUCCCAACCCGAGAAAUUUAGUAAGGCCCCCCCAUUUCCAAAAUUAUUAAAAGCUGGGGGAUUUAGCUUAGCAAUUCCAGGCCUGACUUAGAGUCUCCCAGUGAGGGGCCGAAGUUGUGGCUAAGUUGCAGAUUGAUUACCCAGAAUUCACACCAAUGAGAAGCUGGGGAUAUGACUUAAUAAUGGUAGAGCAUUUGCCUAGAAACCACUAGUGAGGAUCUGGG
ensembl:lncRNA